AGCCUUGAGGUGUUUGACAUAUAAGAUUGCAAAUCUUAAGGAGCAGAUCAAUCGUCUGCCGGGGCUU
rnacentral:tRNA from 1 species